UACGUAGGGUGCGAGCGUUAAUCGGAAUUACUGGGCGUAAAGCGUGCGCAGGCGGCGCGUUAAGACAGGUGUGAAAGCCCCGAGCUUAACUUGGGAAUUGCGCUUGUGACUGGCGUGCUGGAGUGUGGCAGAGGGAGGUGGAAUUCCACGUGUAGCAGUGAAAUGCGUAGAUAUCAGGAGGAACACCGGUGGCGAAGGCGGCUACCUGGACAGAAACUGACGCUGAGGCACGAAAGCUAGGGGAGCAAACAGG
rnacentral:rRNA from 1 species